AUAUGCUCGGGGUAUCAUCCUGCGGAAAUAAGAAUCUCACCUUGCGACGUCGCCUCUCAUCCUCCUGAGUCUCCUGUCUCGUGUCCGAUCCACCUCCACCUGGAGCUCUACCUCGCUCUGGGCUCCUCCUGGCUCCUGAAGCUCCACCUCACACUGAGCUCCCCACCAGGUAGUAAUGUCUUCUCUUCUCCUUCUUUCUCUCCAAAAUAAUCCUAUCAUCACGUAGCACCUUCAGGAUUCCUCCACCAGCUACCGUCUUGUAGCCUCUUGAAUCUAG
rnacentral:lncRNA from 1 species